GUACUCACUUCAGCAGCACAUAUACUAAAUUGGAACAAUGCAGAGAAGAUUAGUGUGGCCCUGGUGCAAGAAUGACAUGCAAAUUUGUGAAGUGUUCUGUAUUUUU
ensembl:snRNA U6 U6 spliceosomal RNA